ensembl:lncRNA
AGAGACCAGAGCCAAGACCACGGACCAGACCAGACCAGUAGAGACCAGAGCCACCAGGACCACGCUAGACCAGACCAGACCAGUAGAGACCAGAGCCACCAGGACCACGCUAGACCAGACCAGACCAGACCAACGCUAGACCAGACCAGACCAGACCAGUAGAGACCAGAGCCAACCCAGGACCACGCUAGAGACCAGACCAGACCAGUAGAGACCAGACCAGUAGAGAACAGAGCCACCAGACCAGUAGAGACCAGGACCACGCUAGACUAGACCAGACCAGUAGAGACCAGAGCCACCAGACCAGUAGAGACCAGACCAGUAGAGAACAGAGCCACCGGGACCACGCUAGACCAGACCAGACCAGUAGAGACCAGACCAGUAGAGACCAGACCAGAGACAACCAGACCACCACCCGGGACCACGCUAGACCAGACCAGACCAGUAGAGACCAGCCACAGGCAG